rnacentral:sRNA from 1 species
GCUGGGUGCAGUGGUGCAUGCCUAUAAUCCCAGCAGCUUGGGAGGCUGAGACAGGGGAAUUGUGAGUUCAGAGCCAGCCUAAGCAAAAGUGAGGUACCAAGCAACUCAGUGAGACCCUGACUCUA